GGAAGUGGGAUGACGUCAAGUCCUCAUUGGCCUUUACUGGUCCAGGGCUACACACGUGCUACGAAUGGGACUGUACAGAGGGUAGCGACCUCGCGAGAGCAAGCCAAUCCCAAAAAGCAGUCCUUAGUUCGGAUUGGAGUCUGCAACUCGACUCCAUGAAGCUGGAAUCGCUAGUAAUCGCGGAUCAGCAUGCCGCGGUGAAUACGUUCCCGGGCCUU
rnacentral:rRNA from 1 species